rnacentral:rRNA from 1 species
GAUGAACGCUGGCGGCGUGCCUAAUACAUGCAAGUCGAGCGAACAGAUGAGGAGCUUGCUCCUCUGACGUUAGCGGCGGACGGGUGAGUAACACGUGGAUAACCUACCUAUAAGACUGGGAUAACUUCGGGAAACCGGAGCUAAUACCGGAUAAUAUAUUGAACCGCAUGGUUCAAUAGUGAAAGACGGUUUUGCUGUCACUUAUAGAUGGAUCCGCGCCGCAUUAGCUAGUUGGUAAGGUAACGGCUUACCAAGCCAACGAUGCGUAGCCGACCUGAGAGGGUGAUCGGCCACACUGGAACUGAGACACGGUCCAGACUCCUACGGGAGGCAGCAGUAGGGAAUCUUCCGCAAUGGGCGAAAGCCUGACGGAGCAACGCCGCGUGAGUGAUGAAGGUCUUCGGAUCGUAAAACUCUGUUAUUAGGGAAGAACAAAUGUGUAAGUAACUAUGCACGUCUUGACGGUACCUAAUCAGAAAGCCACGGCUAACUACGUG